UAACAGGAAGCAGCUUGCUGCUUCGCUGACGAGUGGCGGACGGGUGAGUAAUGUCUGGGAAGCUGCCUGAUGGAGGGGGAUAACUACUGGAAACGGUAGCUAAUACCGCAUAAUGUCGCAAGACCAAAGAGGGGGACCUUCGGGCCUCUUGCCAUCGGAUGUGCCCAGAUGGGAUUAGCUUGUUGGUGGGGUAACGGCUCACCAAGGCGACGAUCCCUAGCUGGUCUGAGAGGAUGACCAGCCACACUGGAACUGAGACACGGUCCAGACUCCUACGGGAGGCAGCAGUGGGGAAUAUUGCACAAUGGGCGCAAGCCUGAUGCAGCCAUGCCGCGUGUAUGAAGAAGGCCUUCGGGUUGUAAAGUACUUUCAGCGGGGAGGAAGGGAGUAAAGUUAAUACCUUUGCUCAUUGACGUUACCCGCAGAAGAAGCACCGGCUAACUCCGUGCCAGCAGCCGCGGUAAUACGGAGGGUGCAAGCGUUAAUCGGAAUUACUGGGCGUAAAGCGCACGCAGGCGGUUUGUUAAGUCAGAUGUGAAAUCCCCGGGCUCAACCUGGGAACUGCAUCUGAUACUGGCAAGCUUGAGUCUCGUAGAGGGGGGUAGAAUUCCAGGUGUAGCGGUGAAAUGCGUAGAGAUCUGGAGGAAUACCGGUGGCGAAGGCGGCCCCCUGGACGAAGACUGACGCUCAGGUGCGAAAGCGUGGGGAGCAAACAGGAUUAGAUACCCUGGUAGUCCACGCCGUAAACGAUGUCGACUUGGAGGUUGUGCCCUUGAGGCGUGGCUUCCGGAGCUAACGCGUUAAGUCGACCGCCUGGGGAGUACGGCCGCAAGGUUAAAACUCAAAUGAAUUGACGGGGGCCCGCACAAGCGGUGGAGCAUGUGGUUUAAUUCGAUGCAACGCGAAGAACCUUACCUGGUCUUGACAUCCACGGAAGUUUUCAGAGAUGAGAAUGUGCCUUCGGGAACCGUGAGACAGGUGCUGCAUGGCUGUCGUCAGCUCGUGUUGUGAAAUGUUGGGUUAAGUCCCGCAACGAGCGCAACCCUUAUCCUUUGUUGCCAGCGGUCCGGCCGGGAACUCAAAGGAGACUGCCAGUGAUAAACUGGAGGAAGGUGGGGAUGACGUCAAGUCAUCAUGGCCCUUACGACCAGGGCUACACACGUGCUACAAUGGCGCAUACAAAGAGAAGCGACCUCGCGAGAGCAAGCGGACCUCAUAAAGUGCGUCGUAGUCCGGAUUGGAGUCUGCAACUCGACUCCAUGAAGUCGGAAUCGCUAGUAAUCGUGGAUCAGAAUGCCACGGUGAAUACGUUCCCGGGCCUUGUACACACCGCCCGUCACACCAUGGGAGUGGGUUGCAAAAGAAGUAGGUAGCUUAACCUUCGGGAGGGCGCUUACCACUUUGUGAUUCAUGACUGGGGUGAAGUCGGAACAAGGUAACCGUAGGGGAACCUGCGGUUG
rnacentral:rRNA from 1 species